AAAGGAAUUGACGGGGCCCGCACAAGCGGUGGAGCAUGUGUUAAUUCGAAGCAACGCGAAGAACCUUACCAGGUCUUGACAUCCCGAUGCUAUUUCUAGAGAUAGAAAGUUACUUCGGUACAUCGGUGACAGGUGGUGCAUGGUUGUCGUCAGCUCGUGUCGUGAGAUGUUGGGUUAAGUCCCGCAACGAGCGCAACCCCUAUUGUUAGUUGCCAUCAUUCAGUUGGGCACUCUAGCGAGACUGCCGGUAAUAAACCGGAGGAAGGUGGGGAUGACGUCAAAUCAUCAUGCCCCUUAUGACCUGGGCUACACACGUGCUACAAUGGUUGGUACAACGAGUUGCGAGUCGGUGACGGCGAGCUAAUCUCUUAAAGCCAAUCUCAGUUCGGAUUGUAGGCUGCAACUCGCCUACAUGAAGUCGGAAUCGCUAGUAAUCGCGGAUCAGCACGCCGCGGUGAAUACGUUCCCGGGCCUU
rnacentral:rRNA from 1 species